AUUUCAUUUGAAAGAAGAUAAGGGGAGCUAACUAGAGAGAGAUAGGGGAAGGAAAAACCUUGGAGCUUUGAUCUCCAUCUUCUUCAAGCUUAGAUCUCAAAGCUAUUGGAGUAUUCUAGGGAUUUUGACAAGGAGUAUUUGGGCGAGCUUAAUAGCUAAAAUUUGGAUGUUUUUAGAGUAGUUAAGGACAUGUGAAUAGCACGAGCACAAGUGGUGGG